rnacentral:rRNA from 1 species
AUGGCGGCCAGGGUGGCGUCAUCGUUGGCGAGGUGGCGGACCAUGAACGUCAUCAGGAUGGACGACGUGUCGUGGCCGGCGAUGAGGGCAACCAUGGCGUUGUCCACGAUCUCCUCGUCGCUCAGCAGCCGCUCGCCAUGGCCGUCCGUCAGGCCGAGCAGGCAGGUUAUGAGGUCGUUGCUCCGCUGCGCCUUGCCGUGCUCCGGCUGGCACCGGCUGGCCUUCUUCUCCCGCGUGAUCCCCGCCAGCACCCGACGGGCUCUGCCGCUGGCCUUGAGGCUCCGGCUGAACGCCGUGAACGGCAGGUUCACCGGGAUGGCCCACAUGCCCUUCAUCAUGUGCGCGAAGUCGCCGGCCAGCGCGUCCCGCACGGCGCCCCUCUCCAGGCCAAAGAGCAGCGCGGAGAUGAUGUCGAACGUCAGCCGCUUCAUCAGCGGCAGCACCGUCACGGUCCCGCGGCCGGCCCAGUUCUCCCCGACGUGGCGCCGCACCUCGGCGUCGAUCCCGCCCACGUACAUCUUGAGCAUGUCGGGCCUGAGGAACUCGAGCAGAGCACCGCGGACGCGCCGGUGGUCGGCACCAUGGAGGUCCAGGAUGCUGUUCUCUCCGAGUAUACGCUGCACGGACCGGGGCUGCCGCGUCGAAAGCGCGCUGCUGAAGAAGAGGAACUUGUUGGCCGCCGGUCCGGCCAGGAGCACCGUCGGCGUGCCGAACAGCGACAGCUUCGACACGGGCCCGUACAUGUCGAUCCGGUCCUGUACCCACCGGCUGCCGCCGUCGCCGCCGCGCAUGGCACGGAGGAGGCCGAGGCUCUGGCCGAUCACCGGCAGGCCGAGGGAGCCCGGGGGCAGGUUGGCCGGCCGUCUUUUCCUGGCCCUGGUGAGGAGGUGGAUGGCAAUGGACGAGGCGGCGACAACGAGUGCCACGACUAUGGCCAAAUUAUCCAUUGGAGAAUGA